rnacentral:rRNA from 1 species
AUGCAGGAGUUGGCCGCAUCCUUUUAUGAGCGUUUGUUCACAUUUGAUGGCUCGGCAGGAGCUAAUGUACUAUUACAAAAUAUUGCGCCCUUGGUUACGGUUGAGAUGAAUCAAAGCCUGACGGCAGCCUUCUCAGAUGAUGAAAUAGAGCGAGCUUUGUUCCAAAUGGGACCUACAAAGGUGCCCGGACCAGAUGGACUCCCGACACUAUUCUACCAAAGACACUGGUCUUUGGUUAAGGAUGACGUGUGUAGGGCGGUGAAAGAUUUUUUGAUGGGUGCAUCAACGCCUAACGGUUUUAACGAUAUAGUUAUUGUCAUGAUUCCAAAAGUCAACUCACCAGAGUUGCUUUCUCAGUUCAGACCAUUUAGCCCGUGUAAUGUGCUUUACAAGAUAGCAACAAAGGUGUUGGCAAACAGGUUAAAGAGCUUGCUCCCAUUGUUGAUUUCAAAACAACAAAGCGCUUUUGUUCCGGGGCACCUGAUAACGGAUAAUGUUUUUGUGGCAUAUGAGUGUGUGCAUGUCAUUCGGAACAGAAAGAGGAAGAAACCUUUGUGUGCGGUUAAGCUAGACAUGAUGAAGGCCUACGAUAGGGUCGAGUGGAUCUUCCUUGAACAGGUAUUGAACCGAGUGGGUUUUGACCAGCGAUGGAUUGCUAUGAUUAUGAGACGUGUAAUAUCUGCGAGGUUUUCUAUUCGGCUGAAUGGUGGUUUAUCUAGGGGCUUUAUCCCCUCUUGUGGACUCAGGCAGGGUGACCCUUUAUCGCCCUACUUAUUCUUGUUCUUUGUGGAAGGUUUUUCGGCACUUCUUAAUAGAGCACAAGAGGAGAAUCGUAUCAAAGAAGUUUCUUUUGGGAGCAGUAGCCCCAAUGUUACUCACCUACCGUUCACCAACGACAGCAUUGUUUUCCUUGAGGGAUCAUCAGAUAACAUGCUAGCGCUGAAGGAAAUCCUUGCGCAGUAUGAGGAGGCCUCGGGGCAGCGUAUAAAUUUGCAAAAAUUGUCUAUGUUCUUCGGCAAAGGUACUCAGGAUGAAGUGAAGGGGCAGUUGCAAAACAUUCUGGGUGUUCAUAAUGAGGCUCUUGGUGAGCGAUACUUGGGUCUCCCCACACUGGUUGGGAGAUCAAAAGACGGUACUUUCAGAUAUGUAACAGAGUGCUCAAAGGGUAAGGUCAAUGGUCUGAAAGGCCAAGGUUUAUCGAAGGCCGCGAGAGAGGUACUUGUAAAAUCCGUACUCCAAGCCACACUAACUUAUACUAUGAGUUGUUUUCACCUCACAAAGAAAAUGUGCCAGAACCUGACUUCUAUCUCGUCAAAAUUCUGGUGGGGGGCAACAAAUGGUGAUAAGAAGGUGCAUUGGAUCUCUUGGGAGAAGAUGUGUGAUGCCAAGCGGGAUGGAGGCCUAGGGUUUCGAGAUCCAGAAGCUUUCAACCAAGCUCUCUUGGCUAAACAGGCUUGGAGGAUUCUUCAGUGCCCGUUAUCUUUGUGUGCUCGGGUUCUCAAGGCAAGAUACUUCUCGGAUACAACGAUUAUGUCAGCCACUUGCCCAUCGGGAGGAUAUUUCACGUUUCGGAGCAUUCUUCAUGGGCAUGAUCGGUUGAGAGAGGGCCUUGUGCGGCGUGUUGGUGAUGGGACUAAGAUCAAUAUACAUCAUGACAAUUAG